GAUGAAGAACGCAGCGAAAUGCGAUAUGUAAUGCGAAUUGCAGAAUUCAGUGAGUCAUCGAAUCUUUGAACGCACAUUGCGCCCGCCAGUAUUCUGGCGGGCAUGCCUGUUCGAGCGUCAUUACAACCCUCAGGCCCCCGGGCCUGGCGUUGGGGAUCGGCGGAAGCCCCCUGCGGGCACAACGCCGUCCCCCAAAUACAGUGGCGGUCCCGCCGCAGCUUCCAUUGCGUAGUAGCUAACACCUCGCAACUGGAGAGCGGCGCGGCCACGCCGUAAAACACCCAACUUCUGAAUGUUGACCUCGAAUCAGGUAGGAAUACCCGCUGAACUUAAGCAUAUCAAUAAGCGGAGGA
rnacentral:misc_RNA from 1 species